rnacentral:rRNA from 1 species
CCUCCGGGGGGCUGCAGUGGGGAAUAUUGGACAAUGGGCGAAAGCCUGAUCCAGCAAUGCCGCGUGAGUGAUGAAGGCCUUAGGGUUGUAAAGCUCUUUUACCCGGGAUGAUAAUGACAGUACCGGGAGAAUAAGCUCCGGCUAACUCCGUGCCAGCAGCCGCGGUAAUACGGAGGGAGCUAGCGUUAUUCGGAAUUACUGGGCGUAAAGCGCACGUAGGCGGCUUUGUAAGUAAGAGGUGAAAGCCUGGUGCUCAACACCAGAACUGCCUUUUAGACUGCAUCGCUUGAAUCCAGGAGAGGUGAGUGGAAUUCCGAGUGUAGAGGUGAAAUUCGUAGAUAUUCGGAAGAACACCAGUGGCGAAGGCGGCCCCCUGGACAAAGACUGACGCGCAUGUGCGAAAGCGUGGGGAGCAAACAGGAUUAGAUACCCGUGUAGUC